rnacentral:lncRNA from 1 species
AUAUAUAGUUGAGCUAUGAUACUUUUACAAGUAUCACCAUCAUGGUACUAUUAGGUUUUAAGCCAUUGGAUCUACUUUUUGAUUAUUAAUAGCCCUUAGAUUAAACACUAUUCCACCUACCACCACCUACCACCAUCAUCUCAACCUCACAUCUCUCCAUCCAAGGGCUAAAAACACACAAGUAUCACCCCCAUGAUACUUUUACAAGUAUUCUAGCCCUACUAUAUAUAUAUAUAUAUAUAUAUUAUGAGUCCAGCUAUGGUGCUUGUAAAAGUACCAAGCACUUGGUGCUUGUAAGUUUUUUACCGUUAGAUCUAGUCAUCGGAUCAUUUUCAACCAUUAGAUUAUACUAUUCAACCAACAACCCACCCACUAAACCCUAGGGAGCCCACAUCAUCUUAACCGCAUAUCUUUUAAUCCAAUGGCUAAAAAUCUAUAAGCACUAAUAACUUGGUACUUUUAAAAGCAUAGGAGCUCGAUUCUAUUAUUAUUAUUAUUAUUGUUAUUAUUAUU